rnacentral:lncRNA from 1 species
ACGAGCUCCAAGCACGCCUUCAACCGGAAACCGGAGCAACUCACCGCGGCGGGAUCGAGAACCCAGGGCUUUCCGAGCUGAGCAGCGAGUUCGGCGGCGGCUUUCAUGGAGGGAAGCCAGUCAGGUGUAAGCGUGCCGACGUUGACGAAGAGAGCGUGAAUAUGAGGUGUGAAAUCGGCAACCUCAGCGACCGAAUGAACCAUCGCCGGCGAUGCGCCGGCGGAUAAAAGCGUGUUGGCCACGAGGUCCAUUGAGACGAAGUUGGUGAUGCACUGAACCAGCGGCGAUUGUCGCCGGACGGCCGUAAGGUGCGUCCACACGCCGGAGCUCCAUUCUUUUGAUUCCAUUCUGCUUAACCAAUCGUCAAUCACGAUUCAAUUAUAUAUCAGAAACACGGUUUGGUUUUAAUUUCAUAAAGCCGAGAAUUUUUAUACCGGUUCAGACCCAACCAAAUAAUGCAAUUAAACCGGGAGGACACAGAGCGUACUGAAUUCUUAGCCAAACUAACUCUUGCAGAAGACUUGUACUCGAACACAGCUUCAUGAACGACUUCUAUUUAACGUUCGAGCUUCACUGAAACUACAUCUUUACUAAAUAAAAGCAGCUAAACUGAAGAAAACAAAUCCUUCAUUAUGUGCUUGCUUGUUUGCUCAUGGUUGAAAAUUUAGUAGUUAUGAUUGCAGUACUAUCUACUCAUAUCUAAACCACACCAACAACAACAAACUGAGCAAAUAUCCGACAAUGAGUUACAUGCGUUGGUAGCAUUCUUCCCAUGAAAGACCUUCGUUUUUGGAACAAACCACUCGAAGGUGAUACAUGGUUUAUGAGCUCUCUCUUUCUAGGAUAUUACCCAAACCAGAGGUAAGGUUCAAUAUCAGAAUCUUCAAAAAGAAAGCCUUUGAGCUUCAAAGGGAUCAUGGAAUUAAUAUGCACGGACUUGGCCUCGAAACUCUUUCGGUCAAUGCCAGUCUCCACGGACCCGUAUGUUGCUUGGAUAGUGUGGGACUAAAAGAAGAGAACUCAUAAAAGAAAAUAUUUACGCAGCAACAAAACCACAAUAUAUGCAACUCUAUAAUUUCUUCAAAGAUUAUAGGAACUCGUAUGCAAUAAAUCCGUGCAUAGCCCAGAUUACUAGGAAUCCGGGUAAGCAAUUCAAUAUUUCAACUGAGUUUCAGACGAUUUAUAACAUACCAAAGGGACACAACCAAAAGAAACAAAUCAAAGAGUUGUGUAAUAAAACCAGGAACAACAAAAUAUUACGAAAUCAAAACUAGGAAACCAAACAUCAAAAUCGAUUCAAGAGAGUAAAAGGACCAUUAUUCUCUUACUUAAUUCUUUUGUUCAAUUUGUCUUCCCAUAAGCAACCAUUCUGUUGGGAGGAAGCUUCUUCUCAGCUUCACGUCUUCUUCUCUUCGCCUUCCUCGACAGUUUGCUUGUCUCAGCCUCGCCUUCCUCAUCUGCUAUCGGUGCUGCUGGCUUCUUCUCCUUAACAACAGCAUCUCGCUUCUCUUCACGAUCCCUCUUCUUGCUCUUCUUCUUGCUCCUCUUCUCAUCAGGAUCAUCAAUCCUCUCCAGCAACUCACUGAACUUGUGUUUCUGCUCCUUGAGUUUGUACUUGUUCACCUCCCAGUCCUUUUCCAUGUACGGAGCCAUCUUCUUCAAUGGUACGCACUGGUUCAGCUCAGUGUCGUCCAAGAAGAGUAUCUCUUCCUUCUCCAGCCCAUAGCUGUUUGGUUGUACUUUAGCAAACUUAAACCUUGUCUUCAAAUCUCCAAUUGUGUCCUCAUAGUCUAGCUUGUAGUACUCCUCCAUCAAAGCUUCCUGGGCUCUUUUCACAAGAGAUGCUUUUCUCUUUCUCUUCCUCUUACCCUCUCUCUCUUCUUCCUCAUCCACUUCUUCUUCUUCUUCCUCUUCAGGUUCUUCAUCAUCGUCCUUUUGCUUCAAAACCUUUUCUCUGGUGAUUCGCUCGCAACACUCUCUUUAAAUUGUUUUUUUUUUUUUAUAUCCUUCUCAAUCUCAAAUUUUCAUUUUUAUAUUCAAACAAACUAUAGUAUAUAAUUGGACUUUGGUAAUGUUUUGCUUUUUUUUCUCAUUUUCUGGCACUGAACCACGACUCAUUCAAACCUAAACCAACAAAAUUAAGCUACAACUAAUUUAAACUGACAGAAUUUGGUACCCACUAAACUAAAGAGGGAGCUCGCAAUGUAAUAAUAUAAUUACGUCUUGUUUGGGAUUUUCAGAAACUUUUUUUUGGCCCAAAGAUAACAAAACUAUUAUAAAGACGUAAAUAUAACAACUACACUAACUCAUAAAAACGCAACAACUUCACAAUCACCACCUCUCUAUUUAAACACGCCAUUGCACACACAUCUCACAUAUUCAUCAAACAAAUCUUUAAUCAGUUUAAAAUCUUCUUCCAGCAACACAAAGAAAAACAGAGAGACAGCUUUCUCUUCUCCAUGAUGAUGAUCAAGCAAUCACCAUUCUCCUCUCCAUUAACAGCAAUCUUCUUGCUCACACUUGCUGUUUUCGCAGCAGCGCUUGAACCUCCACCUGAAGACCCCAUUUUCGAGCUCUACAUGCACGAUGUACUUGGAGGAAGCAGCCCCACGGCGAGACCCAUCACAGGUUUGCUCGGCAACAUUUACAACGGUCAAGUUCCUUUUGCUAAGCAGAUUGGUUUCACUCCUCCCGAAAACGGCAUAGCCAUACCCAAUGCAAACGGCGCCCUUCCAACUGUUAACGGUAUCAACGGUGUACCUCUCGGGACAGGCUUGUCUGGUACAGCUUACUCUGGUCAGAACCUGAACGGGAUACAGACUCAGCUGGGUCCUGAUGGUUUGAGUCUCGGGUUUGGCACCAUCACGGUCAUCGAUGACAUACUCACAUCUGGUCCUGACUUGGGCUCGCAGCCACUUGGUAAGGCUCAAGGAGUUUACGUUGCAAGUUCCGGAGAUGGAAGCACACAGAUGAUGGCUUUCACGGCUAUGCUUGAAGGUGGAGAGUACAACGACAACCUCAACUUCUAUGGUAUUUACAGGAUUGGAAGCGCCAUGUCGCAUCUGUCAGUGACUGGAGGAACAGGUAGGUUCAAGAACGCUUGUGGCUUUGCAGAGGUCAGGCCUUUGAUUCCUUCCGGUCAGCAUCAAGUGGAUGGUGCAGAGUCUUUACUAAGGAUCAUUGUCCAUCUAAAGUACUAAGAGAUUUAAAAUGUAUACAUGAGUUUAUGCGUGAAUGUUCUUUUUGUUAUGUGUAACACGUAUUGAUUGAAAGCAAAACACAAAGUCUUGUUGUACAUCAACCCAACCUGGUGAUUCUCACACGGCUAAGCACAGUGGUCUCAUCUAAACCGUAAAGAGAAUCAAUCAAAUGCAUUUUCAAAGAAGCUGGACCGUUCGCCAACUCUUCACCCAACUCACCUGCGAUGCCAAAGACAGACAUAGCGGAAACAGUAGCUUCCAGUGGCUGUAACGGAUCGACAGCGAGAAAGGCAGCAACCAGGCCAGCUAGUGAACAUCCAGUUGCAGUGAUCCUUUGCAUCAUCUUUGUCCCGUUGUGGACACCAAUAACCCGUUUCCCAUCCGUAACGAUAUCAACAGCUCCUGAAACCGCAACAACAGCACCACUAGACAAAGCUAAUGACUUUGCAGCUUCUAUGGCCUCUGUAGAUUCAUGAGAGCUAUCCGCACCCUACAAUGAUUCAAUCAUCAAAACCUCUCUUUACGAGAUUCUUGAACCUUUAAAAGAUACCUUAGUCUGACCCUGCGAAGCAGAGCCCGAGAGAGCAAUGAUCUCAGAACCGUUUCCUUUGAUCACGCUAGGUUUAAGCUCAACGAGCUCCAAGCACGCCUUCAACCGGAAACCGGAGCAACUCACCGCGGCGGGAUCGAGAACCCAGGGCUUUCCGAGCUGAGCAGCGAGUUCGGCGGCGGCUUUCAUGGAGGGAAGCCAGUCAGGUGUAAGCGUGCCGACGUUGACGAAGAGAGCGUGAAUAUGAGGUGUGAAAUCGGCAACCUCAGCGACCGAAUGAACCAUCGCCGGCGAUGCGCCGGCGGAUAAAAGCGUGUUGGCCACGAGGUCCAUUGAGACGAAGUUGGUGAUGCACUGAACCAGCGGCGAUUGUCGCCGGACGGCCGUAAGGUGCGUCCACACGCCGGAGCUCCAUUCUUUUGAUUCCAUUCU